rnacentral:rRNA from 1 species
AAUGAACGCUAGCGGCAGGCCUAAUACAUGCAAGUCGAGGGGCAGCAGGAGUAGCAAUAUUCGCUGGCGACCGGCGCACGGGUGCGUAACACGUAUGCAACCUUCCCGCCACUGGGGGAUAGCCCGGAGAAAUCCGGAUCAAUACCCCAUAAUUCCCUGGGAGGCAUCUCCCGGGGCUGAAAACUCCGGUGGUGGCGGAUGGGCAUGCGCACGAUUAGCUAGUUGGGAGGUAACGGCUCACCAAGGCUACGAUCGUUAGGGGGCCUGAGAGGGGUUAUCCCCCACACUGGUACUGAGACACGGACCAGACUCCUACGGGAGGCAGCAGUGAGGAAUAUUGCGCAAUGGAGGCAACUCUGACGCAGCCAUGCCGCGUGC